UACGAAGGGGGCUAGCGUUGUUCGGAAUUACUGGGCGUAAAGCGAGUGUAGGUGGUUGUCCAAGUUGGAUGUGAAAGCCUUGAGCUCAACUCAAGAAAUGCAUUCAGGACUGGGCGACUAGAGGACCGGAGAGGAUAGUGGAAUUCCCAGUGUAGUGGUGAAAUACGUAGAGAUUGGGAAGAACACCAGUGGCGAAGGCGGCUAUCUGGACGGUUUCUGACACUAAGACUCGAAAGCGUGGGGAGCAAACAGG
rnacentral:rRNA from 1 species